AGCACCAAGUACAACCAUAACAAGGUACAAACUACAGACUGUCAAAAAGCACAGGUGUACAAUAUACCCCGGGGAAAACCAGCCAGAAGAGUGACAACCUGAGAAUCAACAAUUACACACACAGACAUAGGGGGGGAACAGAGGGUUAAAUACAUGACAAGUAAUGAGGAAAAUGUAAAACCAGGUGCUUGGGAAAACAAGACAAAACAAAUGGAAAACGAAAAGUGGAUCGGCGAUGGCUAGAAGACCGGUGACGUUGACCGCCGCCUGAACAAGGAGAGGAACCGACUUCGGCGGAAGUCGUGACAGCAAUACUAUAGUGCCAAUAAGAACACAGUCAAAAGUAUAUGAAAUACAAAUGGUAUAGAGAGGAAUAAUCCUAUAAUAACUACAACCUAAAACAUCUUAGCUGGGAAUAUUAAAGACUCAUGUUAAAAGGAACCACCAGCUUUCAUGUUCUGAGCAAGGAACUUUAACCUUAGCUUUUAACAUGGAACAUAUUGCACUUUUAAUUUCUUCUCCAACGCAUUAUUUAAACCAAAUUGAACAUGGUUCAUUAUUUAUUUGAGACUAAAUUGAUUUGAUUUAAUUCAGUAUUGUUGUAAUUGUCAUUAUUACAAAUAUAUAUAUAUAUAUAUAAAAAUCAACUGGGUAUAGCUUUGCAUUGACAUGAUUGGUUUACAGGAGGUGGGGCUGGUACAUCCUGUAUAACCACAAAGACACUCACUUCCUUGACAACUUCCUUGAUAACAAACAUGGAGAACUUUGAUGAAAAACUAUCAGAACAAGUGAUACCUUGUGUAGGGAUUUCAAAGACAUGAAAUGAGUUUCAACUCCUGGAAAGAGAUCAGGGAGGUAAUGGGGAUAGAUGGAAUGAGAUCAGGGAGGUAAUGGGGAUAGAUGGAACGAGAUCAGGGAGGUAAUGGGAAUAGAUGGAACGAGAUCAGGGAGGUAAUGGGGAUAGAUGGAAUGAGAUCAGGGAGGUAAUGGGGAUAGAUGGAACGAGAUCAGGGAGGUAAUGGGAAUAGAUGGAACGAGAUCAGGGAGGUAAUGGGAAUAGAUGGAACGAGAUCAGGGAGGUAAUGGGGAUAGAUGGAAUGAGAUCAGGGAGGUAAUGGGGAUAGAUGGAAUGAGAUCAGGGAGGUAAUGGGGAUAGAUGGAACGAGAUCAGGGAGGUAAUGGGGAUAGAUGGAAUGAGAUCAGGGAGGUAAUGGGGAUAGAUGGAAUGAGAUCAGGGAGGUAAUGGGGAUAGAUGGAACGAGAUCAGGGAGGUAAUGGGGAUAGAUGGAAUGAGAUCAGGGAGGUAAUGGGGAUAGAUGGAACGAGAUCAGGGAGGUAAUGGGAAUAGAUGGAACGAGAUCAGGGAGGUAAUGGGGAUAGAUGGAACGAGAUCAGGGAGCUAAUGGGAAUAUCAAAUCAAAUCAAAUGUAUUUAUAUAGCCCUUCGUACAUCAGCUGAUAUCUCAAAGUGCUGUACAGAAACCCAGCCUAAAACCCCAAACAGCAAGCAAUGCAGGUGUAGAAGCACGGUGGCUAGGAAAAACUCCCUAGAAAGGCCAAAACCUAGGAAGAAACCUAGAGAGGAACCAGGCUAUGUGGGGUGGCCAGUCCUCUUCUGGCUGUGCCGGGUGGAGAUUAUAACAGAACAUGGCCAAGAUGUUCAAAUGUACCAUAUUUUUGGCAAGUCGUUUAGGACAUCUACUAUGUGCCUGACACAAUACAGUUUUCCAACAACUGUUUACAGACAGAUGAUUUCUCUUAUAAUUUACGGUAUCACAAUUCCAGUGGGUCAGAAGUUU